GUCACUUAACCUCUAUCUGCCUCAGUUUCCUCAUCUAUAAAAUGGGAAUAAUAAUGGCAACUACUUCAUGGGGUUGUUGUCAGGAUCAAAUGAGAUAAUGUUUAUAAAGGGCUAGCAUGAUGCCUGGCAAAGAAGAGUGCACAAUGAAUGAUUAUUUCCUUCCUUCCUACUAGAUAGACACUGGUGGUUCUUUAGGUUCAAAUAUAGGUCCUUCUAUUUAUUAUUUUUACUGUCUUUAUAAUCUUGCCCCUCAACCUAUCUUUACAACUUCAUUGUACCUAAUCCUCCCACAUUCUACAGUCCAUCAAACUUUCUUGCUGUUUUUCACAUAUGGCAAUUGUAUUCCAUAACUAGCUUUAAAAAAAAAAAAAGAAGAACCUUUUUGUCUUCUGCCUUGGAACCAACACUUAGUAUUGAUCUAAGAUGGAAGGUAAAGAUUUUUUUUAAGUUAGUAUAGACAAAGGGAAGAGAAGCAAUCAGAAGAAUAAGGGCCAUUGGCCCUGCUUGUUCUUGUCAGAACCAUCAUUUUCCUGUUGCUCAGGUGACAGGAAGCUGUGACUGAAUGCACCUCACUUGUCCAGCAUGGUCCUGCCUGGAUGCAGACAGACUUGAGUGAGAGAGAGAGAAAAAAGACAGAGACAAGAAGGGGAGAAGAAAUCUAGGGAAAGGGUAAAUCAAGCAGCUUCUACCCUAUCCUUGGAUCCCUUACCUGCUUCCAAAUCUCAUUCAUCCUUCCAGGCUUAGCUUGAAUGAACUCUCAGCUCUUUCCAAAAGCCAUCCCUAACCACCUCAGCCCUCUGCCCUCUCAACUCCCACAUCAGAAGAGUCCACACCACACUCAGCCCUGAGCAGAUGCUGCUUUAGAGGAAAGCAUAUAUAUGCCCCCAGCGAGGGCUGUAAAAAGAGCACAAUGCAUUUGGAGUCAGAGGAGCUAGGGUUCACAUGCUGCCACUUGUGAUCUGUGUGACCUCACAAGGACAGUGUGAGAUCGUUAUAGUGAGCCAGAUGGGGCAUGGACAUCAGUAUUACCAUUUUACAGGUAAGGAAACUGGAGACUCAAACAAGCCAAUGACCGCCAUUCAGAAUUACGGGGCAAGUACAUCAGUCUCAUCUUCAUCCUUCCAUUGGCUCAGUUCCAGCUUAUGA
rnacentral:lncRNA from 1 species